GUAUUCUCAUCAAUUCCCCACAGCAAUGCUAGAAAGUACUUACUGCAACUUUAUAGAUGAAGAAACUGAAAUUUAGGGAAGUUGAGUUUGUAAAAAAUUGGUUUAAAUUCAAUCAGGUAGAAAGUAAUAGAGGCAGACUUCAAAUUCCAGCCUAAGGAGAGUGUUCAAGAAAUCCAGGAAGCCUCCCAAGGGGCAGAAGCAGUCACAGUCCUGGUGGAAUGGUGGAGGCCUGGGGCCAGGACAAGGAUAACACAGAGCUGCAACGACAGUGUCCACACCCAACUAGUAGUGGUGGCAGAUAGGCACCUGAAGCCUGAGGGAGACUGGCAGUGUGGACUCUGAACACAGAAGCUGAUGUCUAGAGAGCAGCAUGAUGAGAAACCUUAAUCAGCGGACAGCAAAGACCCAGAAAGCAGCACAUAGAAUGGAAGACCCUUUCACCACUGCUCUCAAAAAAACUGCUUGCUUUUGGGGAAUAAGAUGACAUCUUGCGAAAGUGAGGGAGUGGGGAAGGAGCUGUGAAAGACUGAUCAUCUGCACUAAAGAGACUGAGUUGCUCUAAAGAUGACAGACUUAU
rnacentral:lncRNA from 1 species